GACGAACGCUGGCGGCGUGCUUAACACAUGCAAGUCGAACGGAAAGGCCCUGCUUUUGUGGGGUGCUCGAGUGGCGAACGGGUGAGUAACACGCGAGUAACCCGCCCUUGACUUUGGGAUAACUUCAGGAAACUGGGGCUAAUACCCGAUAGGAGCUCUUGCUGCAUGGUGGGGGUUGGAAAGAUUCGGCGGUUGGGGAUGGACUCGCGGCUUAUCCGCUUGUUGGUGGGGUAGGGGCUUCCGAAGGCUUUGAGGGGUAGCCGGCCUGGGAGGGUGACCGGGCACAUUGGGACUGAGGUACGCCCCAGACUCCAACGGGCGGCAGCGGUGGGGAAUAUUACGCAGUGGGCGGAAGCCUGAGGCGGCGGCGCCGCGUGCGGGAUGCCGGCCUACGGGUUGUAAACCGCUUUCGCCUGUGACGAGGCGUUAGUGACGGUAAUGGGUAAAGAAGCACCGGCUAACUACGUG
rnacentral:rRNA from 1 species